UGCACGUUAAGGGUUGGUGGUGUCGACGGUGAGGGACUUCGUUGGAGGUGCCAUUGCGGGGUUCUGUUGAGGUAAGUUCCAUAGAAUUUCAUUCACGUUAUGUUCAUAUUUCUGAAACCCGCAUACUGUUGUUAAGUUCAUCUACUUUUCAUAUGUGCUGGCCCAAUUUAGAUUCCAUAAUAUAUCAAAUAAAAGUAUGAUAUUUUAUUUAUCUUGACAACGGGAUAAUUGAUUUUCAAGAACCCAGGG
rnacentral:lncRNA from 1 species